GUGAAUCAUCGAAUCUUUGAACGCACCUUGCACUCUUUGGUAUUCCGAAGAGUAUGUCUGUUUGAGUGUCGUGAAAUUCUCAACCCCCCUAUUUUUGUAAUGAAAUAGGCUUGUGGGCUUGGAUUUAUGGCUGCUUGUUGGCUCGUCACGAGUCGGCUCGGCUGAAAUACACGAGCAACCCUGCUGAAAUACUGACGGCUUGACUCGGCGUAAUAACAUAUUUCGCUGAGGACGUCCAUUGAACGUUUCAGAUCGUGGGGGGCUUCUAACGCAAAUAUCCAUCUUAAGCUUUAGACCUCA
rnacentral:misc_RNA from 1 species